rnacentral:sRNA from 1 species
ACUCAACGUUAAUUCUUUAAAAAGGGUGAGUUUAAGUUGUAAAAGCAGGCCUCCUAGUUAGAGGAUCCUUGAUCAGCUUGUUAGCCCUAAACUUGUUUUUAAGGAGUUU